rnacentral:sRNA from 1 species
GGCCAACGUACUGCCCUGUUGUGGGCGG